AUGAUUUUAAUUAGAUCCUUUUUGAACACAAUCACUAUGUUUGCUAGUAAUAAUAAUAUUCCCCUCUUUGAUCACCAACCUCCACUUCAACCUCUUGAAAGAUCAGUUCCAUUCAAUCUUUUCUUCACUUUAAACUUAUACCUUUCAUUGUCCUUUCAUAUCUUCAUCUCCAUGACCAAUAAAAUUCAAAAAAAAAAAUUGAGACAAACAAGGAAAAAUUAA